GCAGCCCUGCUGUGCGCGUGUGGCCCGGAUUGAUUCUGAGCCAACACUCAGAACCUGGGGGGCCCACCUUCACCGGUGGAUGACAGGCCCACUUCCGCAAGGGAGAGGGACGCCUGAAGCCGGCGAGCGGUCCCCACCGUGUAGAGAACAGGUUCAAGAAUUAACCGGACCGACGGCAUCGGUGGGGCUUUU
rnacentral:other from 1 species